UCGAACGAUGAACCACUUCGGUGGGGAUUAGUGGCGAACGGGUGAGUAACACGUGGGCAAUCUGCCCUUCACUCUGGGACAAGCCCUGGAAACGGGGUCUAAUACCGGAUACGACCUGCCAAGGCAUCUUGGCGGGUGGAAAGCUCCGGCGGUGAAGGAUGAGCCCGCGGCCUAUCAGCUUGUUGGUGAGGUAACGGCUCACCAAGGCGACGACGGGUAGCCGGCCUGAGAGGGCGACCGGCCACACUGGGACUGAGACACGGCCCAGACUCCUACGGGAGGCAGCAGUGGGGAAUAUUGCACAAUGGGCGAAAGCCUGAUGCAGCGACGCCGCGUGAGGGAUGACGGCCUUCGGGUUGUAAACCUCUUUCAGCAGGGAAGAAGCGAAAGUGACGGUACCUGCAGAAGAAGCGCCGGCUAACUACGUGCCAGCAGCCGCGGUAAUACGUAGGGCGCAAGCGUUGUCCGGAAUUAUUGGGCGUAAAGAGCUCGUAGGCGGCUUGUCGCGUCGGUUGUGAAAGCCCGGGGCUUAACCCCGGGUCUGCAGUCGAUACGGGCAGGCUAGAGUUCGGUAGGGGAGAUCGGAAUUCCUGGUGUAGCGGUGAAAUGCGCAGAUAUCAGGAGGAACACCGGUGGCGAAGGCGGAUCUCUGGGCCGAUACUGACGCUGAGGAGCGAAAGCGUGGGGAGCGAACAGGAUUAGAUACCCUGGUAGUCCACGCCGUAA
rnacentral:rRNA from 1 species